rnacentral:rRNA from 1 species
AACGCGAAGAACCUUACCUGGGCUUGACAUAUAGAGGAUCGCUACAGAGAUGUGGUUUCCCUUGUGGCUUCUAUACAGGUGGUGCAUGGUUGUCGUCAGCUCGUGUCGUGAGAUGUUGGGUUAAGUCCCGCAGCGAGCGCAACCCUUGUCUUAUGUUGCCAGCACGUUAUGGUGGGGACUCGUGAGAGACUGCCGGGGUCAACUCGGAGGAAGGUGGGGAUGACGUCAAAUCAUCAUGCCCCUUAUGUCCAGGGCUUCACACAUGCUACAAUGGCCGGUACAGAGGGCUGCGAUGCCGUGAGGCGGAGCGAAUCUCUUAAAGCCGGUCUCAGUUCGGAUUGGGGUCUGCAACUCGACCCCAUGAAGUCGGAGUCGCUAGUAAUCGCAGAUCAGCAACGCUGCGGUGAAUACGUUCCCGGGCCUUGUACACACCGA